UACAGAGGUCUCAAGCGUUGUUCGGAUUCAUUGGGCGUAAAGGGUGCGUAGGUGGCGAGGUUAGUCAGGUGUGAAAUCUCGGGGGCUCAACCCCCGAAACUGCACUUGAUACUGCCUUGCUAGAGUACUGGAGAGGAGAUUGGAAUUUACGGUGUAGCAGUGAAAUGCGUAGAUAUCGUAAGGGAAGACCAGUGGCGAAGGCGAAUCUCUGGACAGUUACUGACACUGAGGCACGAAGGCCAGGGGAGCAAACGGG
rnacentral:rRNA from 1 species